GUGAGCUCACCGCAGCAUUCUGAACAUUUGGGAACACAGGAAGGGCUGCGCUUUUUAAGCUCCCUUUGUUUUCAAGUGGGGUAUGGAGCCCAUGGGGAGGAGAAAAACAAAACCAGGAAAACAGAUGGCUUGCUCUGCGGAGACAGCAUGUAUACUCGCUGUGGCUUCUAGGGAGAGAGAGCGAUCACAGGCAGACAGAAUGGCAGGCAGAGGCAGAGGGAGAAGCAGACUCCCCGCCGAGCAAGGAGCCCGAUGCGGGACUCGAUCCCAGGACGCCGGGACCAUGACCCGAGCCGAAGGCAGCUGCCUAACCAACUAAGCCACCCAGGCGUCCCCAGCUCCGGCUUUCUUGAGCAAGAAGUAUGGGAGGCAGCUCCUGGGACCCAUGUGUGGGACUACAGUGCCCAGAUGUCUCCUGUUGGCCCCAUGCCUUAGAGAAGAGACUGGUCACAGCCAAUAGAAGUUGUGGCAGACACAGAGAAGAUGAAGACAUGGUGCAUGCUCUAAAGAAGCUUUUUGUCCAAAGCUACCACCGUAAGGGGAGACCAGCCAGCUACAUGUGGACAGAGCCAACUUCUUAAAAGGUCAACCCAUCUCUGAUAAGGUCCCCAGGAGCAUAGAGUUGUAAAAUAAACAUGGCUCAGCGUGCCCACAAGAUGGCGGCAUUCUAGUAUUUUCCCAAACAGCCAAGGUCAUUGGGAAACCGUGCCCUCUGUUGGUGUGGAGGAGACCCUUCAUCUCCUACAAGGGCUGAGAGGAGGUCUCAUCACCAGUGUUCAGUGAACAUACUGAUCUUCUGGAAAAACCUGGGGGAAUGGGGAGCAAUGGUGGCCAGACAAAGGAAAAAGGUACUAAAUGUCACUUACUCAAUCAAACAAAUCUUUCUGGAUGCCUUCCCUGAGCUUCCCCAUCCCUAAGUUGUGUUUGAUGGUCUCCUCUGUGCUCCUCCACCAGAGCACCUACCAUAUUGAAAUUACAUUGUUCAUUUAUUAGUCUUCCUCUUCGAUCCAGCUAGGACCAUGUUCAUUUCCUCUCAGAACCCCUGAUGUCUAUGCAAAAUCUAGCUCGAAUGAGCACAAAGCUCUUUGUUGAAUGAAUGAAGUUUAUCCUAAGAAAGAACUUAAAAUAGACUCUCGCUUGAAUACCAUCACCCAGGUUAAGGGCAUCUUGGGCCAUUAAUAUCCUUGUCCUCAAAAAUGGAAGUUGGAAAGAUGGGAGAUCAAGAGAUGCACUCCAAAACACACUAAUGUGAGUUGUUGGAGGAAUGGCCAGGAUCACCUUUACAUCUACCUCUGCUCAAGAGAUCAGCUUGUCCACCUAGCCAGAGAAUCAAGGUCAAGAAGAUGGAAAACUUGGGCUGCCCAGAAACAUGUGUUUCUCAUCAUUGGCUCCAACAGCCGCCUUGGAGGACCGGGGAGCAAACAAGAUCGAGAGGGAACAAGCCCCAUGGGGCAGCUGUAGCAGUUAAAGGGGGCCCUUCUCUUUCCCUGUGCCUGAGUCCUAUUUCACCUUCCUCAUCAACACUGACAUCCCCAAAGAGCAUCUGGAAUGGAGGAGAAAAGAAUUUUGGAUCCGGGAGAAAACUUAGGAGUAUGUCUCUUCCAGUACCUUUGUCUACAGAUGAGGAAGCUGAUGCCCCAAGAAGGGAAGUAAGUUGCUUGCCAAAUACCCUUACAGCCAAGUUACAGCUGACGUCUUGAUGCAGUGACUGCAUUUUCCUGUACCUCAAUUCAGGAAAUGUGGUUGACAAAGGAUGAAUUUUUUUUUUUUUUUCAUGAAUAGCAAAAACUGAGAAGUUGCACUAAGUCUCAUUAUAAAUCUAUCAAUUGUCCUUUUCCCCUUAUCUACCAGUCUCAGGAAACUGGUCUGCACAAGGUCACUUGUGAGGUCAUUUGCAAAACCUACAGGCCGUUUUGCAGUCUUCAUCUGACUGGCUAUCUCGGUAGCAUGUGGGUUUUCAUGCUCACUUUUGCCUCCCUACCUCUCUAGUUUCUCCUUAUCGGCAUCCUUUGCUCUCCACCUGGCUCGCAAAUGUCCAAGCUGCAGAGAGUUCUGUCCUAAGCCCACAUCCAUGUUCAUGGUUUCAGUGCCUAAAAAUUAGCUGAUGACUCCCCGAUCUUCACUACAGUUGUUCAUCUUUUUUGGGCUACAAACAUGUAUGUAUAGCUGCCUUCUCAGCAUCUUCUCUGGAUGCCCCAAACUGAACUCACCCUUUUCCUCCAAACCUCUCUGAUUGCUUUGACUCAAUUGCCAAACAAUGAUGGGCAGAGGAUGGCUAAUAUUUCAAAGCAUGUGCUUUGGGAUCUCAUAGACCUGGGCUCGACUCCCAGAUAUGCCACUUAACUAGCUAUGGGGCCUUGACUAAGUUACUUAACCUUCCAGUUUCACCAUCUGUAAAAUGGGGAUAAUAGAAAUACCUCCUUCAUAAGACUGUCGUUAAAAGGAAAUGGGCUGGGCUCCCUGGGUGGCUCAGUGGAUUAAGCCUCUGCCUUCUGUUCAGGUCAUGAUCCCAGGGUUCUGGGAUCGAGCCCCAGUCAGGCUCUCUGCUCAGCAGGGAGCCUGCUUCCUCCCUCCCCUCUCUGCCUGCCUCUCUGUCUACUUAUGAUCUCUCUCUCUGUGUCAAAUAAAUAAAUAAAAUCUUAAAAAAAAAAAGAGGAAAUGGGUUAAUUCAAUAACAACAACACAAUACCUGGCACAUAGUAAAUGCUCAAUACAUGUGAGCUAUUA